GUUUGGCGGAAUAGCGGGGAUAAGCUUAUCCCGCGAUCCAAACGGGGCCUAAGAUUAUAAAUAUAAAUGUUAUUAUUAUAUAUAGUUUAUUUAUGGGAUAAUUUUCUAUAUACCCCUCAUGCAUCUGAAAAUAUCCGAUCUAUCCCUAUUCUUUUUUUUCUUUCUAAAAUGUCCCUCAUAUGUUCCACCGUUAUUCAAAAAUACCCUCGCAGUUAUCCCAUGUUAGCUUAACUCGAGUUAAACAUGGGUUAAAUGUAUACUAGAGUUAAAACCUAUAUAAAAUACCUAUUUUACUCCUAUCUUAUUAUGCUAAUCCCUUAAGUUAUUCUCUUUCUCUCCUAACUUGAUCGCCGGCUCCUCCGCCUCCACCUUGCCGGCUCCGCCGUCUCCACCUCGCCUCAUCUCCGCCCAUACCACCACCACUUCCCACACCUCCACCUCCAACACCACCCCUUUCGUCGCUCUGGUCGUUCUCCUCCUCCGCCGCUUUCGUCGUCAAGAGGGUCGCAGC
rnacentral:lncRNA from 1 species